CAGCCAAGACCAACUCAGUGUGGCUUCACCUGAUUCAUCCAGGAUGGGAAGGGAUUUCCAGACAGGAUUACAUCAGCAUGGCUUUUACUAGCAAGACCACAGGAAGGCAGCACCCCUGGAAAAAUCAUGGAGCAGGUCCUCAAGGAAACCAUUUUGAAGCACUUGGAGGAGAGGAAGGUGGUCAGGAACAGUCAGCAUGGAUUCACCAAGGGCAAGUCAUGCCUGACCAACCUGAUUGCCUUCUAUGAUGAGAUAACUGGCUCUGUGGAUAUGGGGAAAGCGGUGGACGUGAUAUAUCUUAACUUUAGUAAAGGUUUUGAUAUGGUCUCCCACAGUAUUCUUGCCAGCAAAUUAAAAAAGUAUGGAUUGGAUGAAUGGACUAUAAGGUGAAGAGAAAGCUGGCUAGAUUGUCAGCCUCAACAGGUAGUGAUCAACAGCUCGAUGUUUAGUUGGCAGUCGGUAUCAAGUGGAGUGCCCCAGGGGUCUGUCCUGGGACUGGUUUCGUUUAACAUCUUUAUUAAUGAUCUGGACGAUGGGAUAGACUGCACCAUCAGCAAGUUCAUGGAUGACCCUAAACUGGAGGGAGAAGUAGAUAUGCUGGAAGCUAUACCCCUUAAAGCAAGACACAGCCCACAUCAUCUGUUUGAAAGCAAGGUGCAAUAGUCUGCUGCCCAACUUCAGAUGUCAUUGACAGCACUCCAGGGCACGUUUCAGCUGGAAUGGUUAGUUGUGAGCCUCAGUGAAGCAUCAGAGAAAGGACUAUUCUCAGUAAGUGCAAAUCAAGAAACACUUAACUGACAAUGGACUUUGGGAGACACCAAUCCACAUCUGAGCUUUCCUGGGAACAUUCAAACUAACAUGUGAACAAUGGUGUUGGCCUGCAAAAAGCUGAAUCAUUCAUGGACAUGUGACUUGCCCAGGUGGCUACAAACUCCAUCUUGUUGCUGUGACUUUGCACAGAAGAACAAGGUGUUUCCGCCCACAAGAGAGAAUAUAAAAGGCCCUGGAAGCCUCUCCAUUUUGUCUUCAGCUGGCUUAAGAAAUGGCCUCUCCACCCCAAAGAGAUGCCUGAAAGAAACUGGAACAAAGGACAGUAACUACAGGGGUGUGAGUGAUUGCUGAACACAGACUAGGAAGGAAUACAGUCUGUGAAAGAAGCUUAUUGGAACACCUCUGAGGGUGAGAUUUACCUGUAUUCAGUUUCCUACUGUAUUAGGCUUAGACUUGCGUGUUUUGUUUUAUUUUGCUUGGUAAUUUACUUUGUUCUGUCUGUUAUUACUUGGAACCA